AAUGAACGUUGGCGGCGUGGAUUAGGCAUGCAAGUCGAGCGAGAACCCGCAAGGGGGACAGCGGCAAACGGGGUAGGAAUGAUUGGUGACGUACCCUCGGGACGGGGAUAGCCCCGGGAAACUGUGGGUAAUACCCGACAAUCUCCCAGGUCUGAAGACAUGGGUGCAAAGGUGUGAUUACACCGGAGGAGCGGCAAAUCUGGUAUUAGCUAGUUGGUAGGGUAACGGCCUACCAAGGCUACGAUGCCUAGGGGGUGUGAGAGCAUGGCCCCCACCACUGGGACUGAGAUACUGCCCAGACACCUACGGGUGGCUGCAGUCGAGAAUCUUCGGCAAUGGGCGAAAGCCUGACCGAGCGACGCCGCGUGCGGGAUGAAGGCCUUCGGGUUGUAAACCGCUGUCAGAGGGGAUGAAGUUAUAGGAGGUUCUCCUUCUAUAUUGACAGAGCCUCAGAGGAAGCACGGGCUAAGUAUGUGCCAGCAGCCGCCGUAA
rnacentral:rRNA from 1 species